rnacentral:rRNA from 1 species
AUUGAACGCUGGCGGCAGGCUUAACACAUGCAAGUCGAGCGGAGCGAGGGUGCUUGCACCUUAGCUUAGCGGCGGACGGGUGAGUAAUGCUUAGGAAUCUGCCUAUUAGUGGGGGACAACAUUCCGAAAGGAAUGCUAAUACCGCAUACGCCCUACGGGGGAAAGCAGGGGAUCUUCGGACCUUGCGCUAAUAGAUGAGCCUAAGUCGGAUUAGCUAGUUGGUGGGGUAAAGGCCUACCAAGGCGACGAUCUGUAGCGGGUCUGAGAGGAUGAUCGGCCACGCUGGGACUGAGACGCGGCCCAGACUCCUACGGGAGGUAGCAGUGGGGAAUAUUGGACAAUGGGCGGAAGCCUGAUCCAGCCAUGCCGCGUGUGUGAAGAAGGCCUUUUGGUUGUAAAGCACUUUAAGCGAGGAGGAGGCUACUUAGAUUAAUACUCUAGGAUAGUGGACGUUACUCGCAGAAUAAGCACCGGCUAACUCUGUGCCAGCAGCCGCAGUAAAAC